rnacentral:rRNA from 1 species
AUGGCGUACUCCUCCUGUUUGAAUCGGAGUUUGAAACUAAACAAACUUCUCCUCAGGAGGAUAGAUGGGGCGAUUCAGGUGAGAUCCCAUGUAGAUCUAACUUUCUAUUCACUCGUGGGAUCCGGGCGGUCCGGGGGGGCUAUCUCUCGAGCACAGGUUGAGGUUCGUCCUCAAUGGGAAAAUGGAGCACCUAACAACGCAUCUUCACAGACCAAGAACUACGAGAUCACCCCUUUCAUUCUGGGGUGA